ensembl:lncRNA
AUGUUGGUGAGGCAUUCGUUUUUAUCUCAGAAUUUUCUUGCAACUCUCUGGCUUUCUGGGGUUUCAGAACAUGGAUUUUUCUUUUCCAUUUCCAUCCAUCUUCUUUGUUUUUCCAUUCAUCCUACCCAUUUUCUCAAAACACCUGGCCCAGGGUCACCAGGUGCUGGUGGGUGUGGCGCACAGGGGCUCACGGCCCUGCAGGGGGAACCCAAACUAGCGCAGCCACAUGGGGGGAAGUUUCUUACAAAAGUCAACACUCCCCCCGAGAUCCCCCCCUGCCCCGCGCACCCCGGCUCCACCACGCCGAGCCCCCAGCUGCUGCCCAGGGAGCCGCGCCCAUGGCGCCCUGGAGGCUGUGCGCGCUGCACCUGCAGCCCCUCCGUGGGCCUGAGCAUCCGGACAGCCUGGUCCUCCACCCACAGGCGGGGCUCGGCCCAGUCACCCCUCUUUAGAGCAGUUUUCUCAGCCGUCAGGGAAAGAGGCCGCCCGGCCGUGCGCCGUGGUCAGCAUCCCCGCCAGCUCCUGAGACUCGGCGGCUACACAAGCCUACAACCUGAAGCAAGUGUCACACACACACACACACACACACAUACACACACACUCCCCCCAACUGACACACCAUCUACACACGCACAUACACAUGCCAACUCACUCACACCACCUACCCACACACACAACACACACUCGCCACGAAUACACACAAACACACACCAACUCACACAUUCACACACCACACAUACACACACACACACACCAUCAAACACAGAGACACACAUGCGUCCCUCUGGGAGUUAAACCUGGGGAAAGUGAACAGCAAGACUGGUCUGAGGAGAAGGAAGCCCUUUAAAGAGCAGCCCUGAGGAAGCACAUAAACAGGGUCUCCCAGGAGUCCCUGUCGUGGCUCAGUGGUUAACGAACCCGACUGGCAUCCAUGAGGACUUGGGUUCGACCCCUGGCCUUGCUCAUGGGUUAAGAAUCCGGCGUGGUGUGGCUGUAGUGUAGGUCGCAGAUGCGGCUACAGCUCCAAUUGGACCCCUAGCCUGGGAACCUCCCUAUGCCGCAGGUGCAGCCCUAAAAAGACAAAAUGAAAAUUUUAAACUUUUUUAAAAAAAGGGUUUUCCACCCCUCCCCACACCCGGCGCAAGACGGUGUCUGGAGAUUAAAGGAAGAAGGUGACCUCACUGGACACACAGACACACAGACACACACAGACACACACAGACAAACACACACACAGACACACACAGACACACAGACACACACACACGGUCAGGCUCUCGCCCCUCUGCAGCCACCUUGGGCCCUGCGGCCAGCACGGGAGCCAGCCCUGAACCACAGCCUCUGCCACCCCCUGGAGGAGAGCUGAGCGGCUCGUGCGGGGCCAUCAGAGUGGCUCAGAGGCCGAGCUGCGUCCCCCUCCACCCCCUCCACGGCAGCCUGCUGCUCAGGCAGCCCUGGCUGAGGAAACCAGACGGUACUGUGGAUUUCAUUUUCAGACAGUGCACCGGGUCACAAAGCUAUCUGUCACGAGGUGACAACAUAUUUCAGGCCAGGGAUGGUCGCCCGCUCAGUGUAUUAGCGAGGCAGCGAGGCGUCAGACCCAGCAUGUAUUCUCUCCGGUUCAAGGGCCGAGGGAUGGAGUCAGGCUGGUGAAUCUGGUUUAGCAGGUGAUCUAUUUCCAGUCCCAGCCAGUCAUUAGGUUCUAAUGUGUGAUGUGUCCUUUUCUGGUGUAUUAAAUCCCUGAUAACUGCGUAUUUAUUACCCCCCACCGCGUUAUGAAGGCACGCGGCCAUCA